GAGGGUAUAGCUCAGUGGUAGAGCGCAUGCUUAGCACGCACAACGUUCUGGGUUCAAUCCCCAGUACCUCCU
rnacentral:tRNA from 1 species